AGUGAACGCUGGCGGUAGGCCUAACACAUGCAAGUCGAACGGCAGCACAGUAAGAGCUUGCUCUUACGGGUGGCGAGUGGCGGACGGGUGAGGAAUACAUCGGAAUCUACUUUUUCGUGGGGGAUAACGUAGGGAAACUUACGCUAAUACCGCAUACGACCUACGGGUGAAAGCAGGGGAUCUUCGGACCUUGCGCGAUUGAAUGAGCCGAUGUCGGAUUAGCUAGUUGGCGGGGUAAAGGCCCACCAAGGCGACGAUCCGUAGCUGGUCUGAGAGGAUGAUCAGCGAAACUGGAACUGAGACACGGUCCAGACUCCUACGGGAGGCAGCAGUGGGGAAUAUUGGACAAUGGGCGCAAGCCUGAUCCAGCCAUACCGCGUGGGUGAAGAAGGCCUUCGGGUUGUAAAGCCCUUUUGUUGGGAAAGAAAAGCAGCAGGUUAAUACCCCGCUGUUCUGACGGUACCCAAAGAAUAAGCACCGGCUAACUUCGUG
rnacentral:rRNA from 1 species